rnacentral:rRNA from 1 species
GAUGAACGCUGGCGGCGUGCUUAACACAUGCAAGUCGAACGGGAAACCUUUUAAUGAAGCUUCGGCAGAUUUAGCUGGUUUCUAGUGGCGGACGGGUGAGUAACGCGUGGGUAACCUGCCUUAUACAGGGGGAUAACAGUCAGAAAUGACUGCUAAUACCGCAUAAUCGCACAGGACCGCAUGGUCCGGUGUGAAAAACUCCGGUGGUAUAAGAUGGACCCGCGUUGGAUUAGCUGGGUGGUGGGGUAACGGCUCACCAAGGCGACGUUCCAUAGCCGGCCUGGGAGGGUGGACGGCCACAUCUGAGCUGAGGCACGGACCCGAAUGCUACGGAAGGCAGCAGAGGGGAAUAUUGCACAAUGGAGGAAGCCCUGAUGCAGCGACGCGGCGUGAAGGAAGAAGUAUGUCGGUAAGUGAACUACUAUCAGCAGGGAAGAUAGUGACGGUACCUGACGAAGAAGCCCCGGCUAACUACGUG